CUCAUUGAGGGCCACUAUGCACAAGCUAUGCAUGAAAAGCUGGGAACCACCUAGAGGAGGAUGUUGGCUCCUGCCCUAAGGAGCUCCACUCAGUUCAAUAAACAAUCAGAUUCUGUAUGGAAGAAGUCACCAAAAUGCAUCUGCCAUUAUUAAGACUGCCCCAUCAAAGGUCAAGCUGGUUUUCAUCAGGUAAGAUUGCUAGAUCUGGUUUUGCAAAAUCAAAGACCUCUUCUGAAGAUGUUAUUAGUGUAAGACUAUGUCAUCUUUGAUUUGUCUAGCGAAAUCACUGUUCCUUCUAAAAACAUAUAUUCCUUUUGUAACUGUCACUUCAAGAAAAGUAUUGAUUGUUUUGAUUAUGAGAUUGUCUUAUUUGCUUAUGUUUCAUGGGAUAGAAUUGGUAGCUGAGGCUAGUAUUUAUAUUUCAGUUAUAAAACAUUCUUCCCUUUCUGGAUCCAUUUUUCCUGUAUAUAAAUAUAAUGAAACCUGCUAACUUCUCUUCCUGUCACUACUAUUUGGUACAUUUGCUGAAUCAUUAAUGUCUUCAUUAAAGAACAAACAGGAAAACAGAACUGAGGACAUUCUUAGGAGCUUCCUUUUAAGAGUGCUGGUGAGAAGCUCAGAGUAGAGAAGAUGUUCAGCACUGCUGCCUAGAGUUGUGUUGUGUGUUUGGGGCUUCACAUUUACUCAGACCUCCCUGCAAGCUGAUUGAGCCCUCAUGGUACAAGUAAAUCAGAAUUAGGAAUCUUACUGUUUGUAGUCAACAUUGCCACAUUAGCAAUAGAAAUGAGGUUGUUUGAUUCUCUUUACUGGACUGAAAUGACAAGUAAAUCUGAAUUACUUUUAGGUCAUGUACCUAACCCUCUAUGUUCACUGUAGCUCUGCUUCUUUUUCCUUCUGGGACUCAGUUAUCAUCUGUAAAAUGGGAUAAUAAAGCAUCUCCCUCA
rnacentral:lncRNA from 10 species